rnacentral:rRNA from 1 species
AGCGAACGCUGGCGGCAGGCCUAACACAUGCAAGUCGAACGAACCUUUCGGGGUUAGUGGCGGACGGGUGAGUAACACGUGGGAACGUGCCUUUAGGUUCGGAAUAACUCAGGGAAACUUGUGCUAAUACCGAAUGUGCCCUUCGGGGGAAAGAUUAAUCGCCUUUAGAGCGGCCCGCGUCUGAUUAGCUAGUUGGUUGAGGUAAUGGCUCACCAAGGCGACGAUCAGUAGCUGGUCUGAGAGGAUGAUCAGCCACAUUGGGACUGAGACACGGCCCAAACUCCGACGGGAGGCAGCAGUGGGGAAUCUUGCGCAAUGGGCGAAAGCCUGACGCAGCCAUGCCGCGUGAAGGAUGAAGGUCUGAGGAUUGUAAAAUUCUUUCACCGGGGACGAUAAUGACGGUACCCGGAGAAGAAGCCCCGGCUAACUUCG